rnacentral:rRNA from 1 species
AUACGGAGGAUCCGAGCGUUAUCCGGAUUUAUUGGGUUUAAAGGGAGCGUAGGCGGACGCUUAAGUCAGUUGUGAAAGUUUGCGGCUCAACCGUAAAAUUGCAGUUGAUACUGGGUGUCUUGAGUACAGUAGAGGCAGGUGGAAUUUCCGGUGUAGCGGUGAAAUGCGUAGAUAUCAGGAAGAACACCGAUUGCGAAGGCAGCUUGGUGGACUGUAAACGACGCUGAUGCUCGAAAGUGGGGGUAUCAAACAGGAUUAGCUCUGCUGGUAGUCCACGCAGUAAACGAUGAAUACUCGCUGUUUGCGAUAAACAGUAAGCGGCCCAGCGAAAGCGUUAAGUAUUCCACCUGGGGAGUACGCCCGCAACGGUGAAACUCAAAGGAAUUGACGGGG